CCUGCGGAGGGAUCAUUACCGAGUUUACAACUCCCAAACCCCUGUGAACAUACCUAUACGUUGCCUCGGCGGAUCAGCCCGCGCCCCGUAAAACGGGACGGCCCGCCCGAGGACCCCUAAACUCUGUUUUUAGUGGAACUUCUGAGUAAAACAAACAAAUAAAUCAAAACUUUCAACAACGGAUCUCUUGGUUCUGGCAUCGAUGAAGAACGCAGCAAAAUGCGAUAAGUAAUGUGAAUUGCAGAAUUCAGUGAAUCAUCGAAUCUUUGAACGCACAUUGCGCCCGCCAGUAUUCUGGCGGGCAUGCCUGUUCGAGCGUCAUUUCAACCCUCAAGCUCAGCUUGGUGUUGGGACUCGCGGUAACCCGCGUUCCCCAAAUCGAUUGGCGGUCACGUCGAGCUUCCAUAGCGUAGUAAUCAUACACCUCGUUACUGGUAAUCGUCGCGGCCACGCCGUAAAACCCCAACUUCUGAAUGUUGACCUCGGAUCAGGUAGGAAUACCCGCUGAACUUAAGCAUAU
rnacentral:rRNA from 1 species